rnacentral:tRNA from 1 species
AGGCUUGUAGCUCAGCUGGUUAGAGCGCACCCCUCGGAUCGGUGAGGUCGGCAGUUCAAGUCUGCCCAAGCCUACCA